rnacentral:lncRNA from 10 species
AGACGGAGUCUCGCUCUGUUGCCAGGCUGGAGUGCAGUGGCAUGAUCUCAGCUCACUGCAACCUCCACCUCCCGGGUUCAACAAUUCUCCUGCCUCAGCCUCCCGAGUAGCUGGGAUUACAGGUGUGCGCCACCACUCCCACCUAAUUUUUGUAUUUUUAGUAGAGAUGCUGUUUCACCGUGUUGGCCAGGCUGGUCUCAAACUCCUGACCUUGUGGUCUGCCUGCUUCGGCCUCCCAAAGUGCUGGGAUUACAGGUGUGAACCACCUUGCCCGGCCUCCUUAUUUUAUUUAAAAUAAAAAUGAACAAUCUCCCACCUCUAAUCCCAUACCUCAUAAUAAAUUAUGGCACUAUCUUUCUAGAGGCAGGACACAGCUUCCCAAUCCUUUUCAUUACAAAGCUGUAGGCAGUCACUGCCAAUUGGAACUGAAACUCCUUGAAACUUUUUUCCCAUCUCAGCACCAAAUGACUCUAUACAGAGUAACAUUUUACUUUGGGUAAGGUUCUGAAGUCAGCAGAUUGGAUGGAAAUGGCCUUAAUGUCAAAAUUACCCUUGAAAAUCCCAUUAAGUCAUCUAUAGGCAGCACUAUAUGUGGUUUUGUGUACAGAUCCCUGAACUGUAAUUCUUCACAUAUUAAAAUUUAACAAUCACUGAAUUUAAGAAACAAGAUCUAAGUAGCUAUCUGGGAAUUUGACCAUACUGUUUUUAAAGACAACUAGAUACAGUUAGUUGCAUUUUAUAAUUUAGCCUUCUAAGAAGCAAAUGAUAUGAUGGGUCUCAUCUCCAGCUGGGGUUAUAUUCUAAAUUCAUAUGUAUAUAUGACAUGAUUCCAGUGCUUUUGGCAAACACUGCUAUACCGCAUCUCAGGCUUAAUAUUAAACACUGUAUCUAGGUU